rnacentral:rRNA from 1 species
UCGGGAAUUUUGGGCAAUGGGCGAAAGCCUGACCCAGCAACGCCGCGUGAAGGAUGAAGUAUUUCGGUAUGUAAACUUCGAAAGAAUAGGAAGAAUAAAUGACGGUACUAUUUAUAAGGUCCGGCUAACUACGUGCCAGCAGCCGCGGUAAUACGUAGGGACCAAGCGUUGUUCGGAUUUACUGGGCGUAAAGGGCGCGUAGGCGGCAAUUCAAGUCAUCUGUGAAAUCUCCGGGCUUAACUCGGAACGGUCAGAUGAUACUGCUUUGCUAGAGUGCAGAAGGGGCAAUCGGAAUUCUUGGUGUAGCGGUGAAAUGCGUAGAUAUCAAGAGGAACACCUGAGGUGAAGACGGGUUGCUGGGCUGACACUGACGCUGAGGCGCGAAAGCCAGGGGGAGCAAACGGGAUUAGAUACCCACGUAGUCCCUGAGCGGGCUGGCAAGGCGCAU